GAUGAACGCUGGCGGCGUGCCUAAUACAUGCAAGUCGAGCGAACGGACGAGAAGCUUGCUUCUCUGAUGUUAGCGGCGGACGGGUGAGUAACACGUGGAUAACCUACCUAUAAGACUGGGAUAACUUCGGGAAACCGGAGCUAAUACCGGAUAAUAUUUUGAACCGCAUGGUUCAAAAGUGAAAGACGGCCUUGCUGUCACUUAUAGAUGGAUCCGCGCUGCAUUAGCUAGUUGGUAAGGUAACGGCUUACCAAGGCAACGAUGCAUAGCCGACCUGAGAGGGUGAUCGGCCACACUGGAACUGAGACACGGUCCAGACUCCUACGGGAGGCAGCAGUAGGGAAUCUUCCGCAAUGGGCGAAAGCCUGACGGAGCAACGCCGCGUGAGUGAUGAAGGUCUUCGGAUCGUAAAACUCUGUUAUUAGGGAAGAACAUAUGUGUAAGUAACUGUGCACAUCUUGACGGUACCUAAUCAGAAAGCCACGGCUAACUACGUGCCAGCAGCCGCGGUAAUACGUAGGUGGCAAGCGUUAUCCGGAAUUAUUGGGCGUAAAGCGCGCGUAGGCGGUUUUUUAAGUCUGAUGUGAAAGCCCACGGCUCAACCGUGGAGGGUCAUUGGAAACUGGAAAACUUGAGUGCAGAAGAGGAAAGUGGAAUUCCAUGUGUAGCGGUGAAAUGCGCAGAGAUAUGGAGGAACACCAGUGGCGAAGGCGACUUUCUGGUCUGUAACUGACGCUGAUGUGCGAAAGCGUGGGGAUCAAACAGGAUUAGAUACCCUGGUAGUCCACGCCGUAAACGAUGAGUGCUAAGUGUUAGGGGGUUUCCGCCCCUUAGUGCUGCAGCUAACGCAUUAAGCACUCCGCCUGGGGAGUACGACCGCAAGGUUGAAACUCAAAGGAAUUGACGGGGACCCGCACAAGCGGUGGAGCAUGUGGUUUAAUUCGAAGCAACGCGAAGAACCUUACCAAAUCUUGACAUCCUUUGACAACUCUAGAGAUAGAGCCUUCCCCUUCGGGGGACAAAGUGACAGGUGGUGCAUGGUUGUCGUCAGCUCGUGUCGUGAGAUGUUGGGUUAAGUCCCGCAACGAGCGCAACCCUUAAGCUUAGUUGCCAUCAUUAAGUUGGGCACUCUAAGUUGACUGCCGGUGACAAACCGGAGGAAGGUGGGGAUGACGUCAAAUCAUCAUGCCCCUUAUGAUUUGGGCUACACACGUGCUACAAUGGACAAUACAAAGGGCAGCGAAACCGCGAGGUCAAGCAAAUCCCAUAAAGUUGUUCUCAGUUCGGAUUAUAGUCUGCAACUCGACUACAUGAAGCUGGAAUCGCUAGUAAUCGUAGAUCAGCAUGCUACGGUGAAUACGUUCCCGGGUCU
rnacentral:rRNA from 1 species